GGGCAUGUGGUCUAGUGGUAUGACGUCUGCUUCGCAUCAAAUCUGCGACUGACCCAACUUCAGUGUUGGAAUCAGCAGAAGGUCCCGGGUUCAAAUCCCGUCUUGUCCA
rnacentral:tRNA from 1 species